AUUGAACGCUGGCGGCAGGCCUAACACAUGCAAGUCGAGCGGAUGAAGGGAGCUUGCUCCUGGAUUCAGCGGCGGACGGGUGAGUAAUGCCUAGGAAUCUGCCUGGUAGCGGGGGAUAACGUCCGGAAAAGGGCGCUAAUACCGCAUACGUCCUGAGGGCGACAGUGGGGGAUCUUCGGACCUUACGCUAUCAGAUGAGGCUAGGUCGGAUUAGCUCGUUGGUGGGGUAAAGGCCUACCAAGGCGACGAUCCGUAACUGGUCGGAGAGGAUGAUCAGUCACACUAGAGCUGGGACACGGUCCAGACUCCUACGAGAGGCAGCAGUGGGGAAUAUUGGACAGUGGGCGAAAGCCUGAUCCAGCCAUGCCGCGUGUGUGAAGAAGGUCUUCGGAUUGUAAAGCACUUUAAGUUGGGAGGAAGGGCAGUAAGUUAAUACCUUGCUGUUGUGACGGUACCAACAGAAUAAGCACCGGCUAACUUCGUG
rnacentral:rRNA from 1 species